rnacentral:rRNA from 1 species
GACGAACGCUGGCGGCGUGCUUAACACAUGCAAGUCGAACGGAAAGGCCCUGCUUUUGUGGGGUGCUCGAGUGGCGAACGGGUGAGUAACACGUGAGUAACCUGCCCUUGACUUUGGGAUAACUUCAGGUAACUGGGGCUAAUACCGGAUAGGAGCUCCUGCGGCACGGUGGGGGUUGGAAAGUUUCGGCGGUUGGGGAUGGACUCGCGGCUUAUCAGCUUGUUGGUGGGGUAGUGGCUUACCAAGGCUUUGACGGGUAGCCGGCCUGAGAGGGUGACCGGCCACAUUGGGACUAAGAUACGGCCCAGACUGCUACGGGGGGCAGCAGUGGGGAAUAUUGCCCAAUGGGCGGAAGCCUGAUGCAGCGACGCCGCGUGCGGGAUGACGGCCUUCGGGUUGUAAACCGCUUUCGCCUGUGACGAAGCGUGAGUGACGGUAAUGGGUAAAGAAGCACCGGCUAACUACGUG